rnacentral:rRNA from 1 species
CGCGGCCUAUCAGCUUGUUGGUGAGGUAAUGGCUCACCAAGGCGACGACGGGUAGCCGGCCUGAGAGGGCGACCGGCCACACUGGAACUGAGACACGGUCCAGACUCCUACGGGAGGCAGCAGUGGGGAAUAUUGCACAAUGGGCGCAAGCCUGAUGCAGCGACGCCGCGUGGGGGAUGAAGGCCUUCGGGUUGUAAACCCCUUUUAGCAGGGAAGAAGCGAAAGUGACGGUACCUGCAGAAAAAGCGCCGGCUAACUACGUGCCAGCAGCCGCGGUAAUACGUAGGGCGCAAGCGUUGUCCGGAAUUAUUGGGCGUAAAGAGCUCGUAGGCGGUUUGUCGCGUCUGCUGUGAAAAUCCGAGGCUCAACCUCGGACUUGCAGUGGGUACGGGCAGACUAGAGUGUGGUAGGGGAGACUGGAAUUCCUGGUGUAGCGGUGGAAUGCGCAGAUAUCAGGAGGAACACCAAUGGCGAAGGCAGGUCUCUGGGCCACAACUGACGCUGAGGAGCGAAAGCAUGGGGAGCGAACAGGAUUAGAUACCCUGGUAGUCCAUGCCGUAAACGGUGGGCACUAGAUGUGGGGCUCUUUCCAUGAGUUCCGCGUCGCAGCUAACGCAUUAAGUGCCCCGCCUGGGGAGUACGG